rnacentral:sRNA from 1 species
GCUGGGCAUGGUGGCACGUGCCUGUAAUCCCAGCGGCUCAGGAGGCUGUGGCAGGAGGAUCACAAGUUCGAGGCAGCCUCUGACUUAGGAGCCUCUAAGCAACUUAGCGAGACCCUGUCGCAA